GGAUGCGAUCAUACCAACACAAAAGCACCGGAUCCCAUCAGAACUCCGAAGUUAACUGGGAAGUCCUUGUGUUGCAUUCC
rnacentral:rRNA from 1 species